rnacentral:rRNA from 1 species
ACUUUAAUUGAAGAGUUUGAUCAUGGCUCAGAUUGAACGCUGGCGGCAGGCCUAACACAUGCAAGUCGAGCGGUAACAGGGAUCAGCUUGCUGAUUCGCUGACGAGCGGCGGACGGGUGAGUAAUGUCUGGGAAACUGCCUGAUGGAGGGGGAUAACCACUGGAAACGGUGGCUAAUACCGC